CAGCAAAAUGCCGUGACUGGGUAGCUUAUAAACAAAAGUAAUUUGUCACCAUUCUUGAGUCUCAGAAGUCCACUCAAGGCACAGACUGUGCCUGGUGAGGGCCCACUUUCAGGUUCAUAAGUGAUACUUGGCUAUAUCCUCACAUGGUGGAAAGAACAGGACAGCACUCUGGAGUCUCUUUUAUAAGGGCACUAAUCACAUUCAUGAGGGCUCUACCUUCCUAAUUGAAUCAUAGCCCCACCUCCUAAUACUAUCAUAUUGGUAAUUAGAUUUCCACAUAUGAAUUUUGUGGGGGACACAAACAUUCGGAGUAUAGCACUGGUUCACAGGAAAAACGUAAGUAAAAGAGUACUCAGAAUAUAGGGUGAUAGAUACAUAUAAUUUUAAGGUAAUUCAAAGGAGGGAGUGAUUAACUUGUGACUGAAUCAACAAAGACUUUUUGAUGAGUUUGUAGCUGAGGUUAAGCAUAAAACAGUUUUUUAGUGGAAAAUUUGAAGCAUGUCAUUGUUGGGCAGAGGAAUUGACAUGUACCAGAAAAUCAGAAGUAUGAAACAUCAGAUGCUAACAGAAAGAGACAGGUACAUCAAUAUUUGUAAAGCAAAGAAAUGAGGAUGAAAAUCAGUAGGAACAAGCCAUAUUAAGAAAGUAUAUUGACUAUUUUAAAGUAACAGACUGUGUGUUCAUUUAUUCUUUUGUUCAUUCUUGGAGUUUCUUAUUCACAUAAGGAAAGCCACUAUAUAAUUUUUAAUAAGAUGGAUCCAUUAUAAUAGAAAUUAAAUAGCAGAAAUACAUAUAAGAGUGAACAGUGUGACAGUACCUAGUCUUGGUAAGAAUAUGGAGCACCGAUUGUGAAUACAUGAAUUGUUCAAACCACCUCAAAAAUCAUUUUCAUUAUGAGAACUGGAACAUAUGUAUAUCCUGUGACCCAGUAUUUCUAUUCUUUGUCUUCUAGAGAAACUUUUUGUCAUAUAUACCAUAAGGCCUAUACACUAUUAUUCCUAGCAACAUUUAUUGAAAUAGCAAAAAAUUAGAACUGCCCAAACAUCCAUAGACAGAGAAUAGAUUAAUAAAUUGUAGUGUUCUUAUCCAGACUCUGCCGCCUAGUAACAUUUAUUUUAGGCAAGUUGCUUAAUCCCUUUGAAUUUUAGUCUCUUCAUACGGAGUAGGUUGAUAAUACUAUGUACCUCAAAGGAUUAUUGUGAAGAUUGAGUUAACCCAUGUAAAGUAGUUGAGACUGUCUGAUACACAGAAAAUGCUCAAUAUAUUUUAGCUAUCAUUGGUACACAGAGGUCAAAAUGACUGAUUAUUGCUACACAUGUCAAGGUGAAUGAAUUUCACUG
rnacentral:lncRNA from 1 species